rfam:Rubrivivax sp. SCN 70-15 ABT20_C0025, whole genome shotgun sequence.
CCGCGUCCGCCGUGUUCGCGUGAGUCUUAUAUUUCCUUGAACCGAUGGUCUAUGACCAAGGGCUUGGAACAUUGCCUGGCUGGUGUGAGCGUCUCGCGUCAGACGAACCCGAAGCCAGGCUGACCUCGCCCACCUGAACUUCCCCUUGGGUUCAGGAAUGCGGCUCACGGUUCGCGGCGGACACCCU